rnacentral:rRNA from 1 species
CCUCCUUUCUAAGGAAAUUUUUUAAAAUCAUCAUCUUCAGUUUUGAAAGACUUAAGUUAAUUUAUUUAAAUAAGUUUUUCGUUUUUUUCAUUAGUUAAUUCUUUUAAUAUAAUAUUCUUUAAGAUUUUAA